AGACUCCGGAGGGAAGCAACCCAUCCCCUGCCUCAAGAAAGCACCGCCACUCCAGUGGGAACGGACACGCAUGCACACAGCCACGAAUGGUGAUGACACUCCCAAGUCCAUGUGGGAAUCCCUCCUUCUGCGGGCCUCAGUCUGUCAUCUUCCUUGGAGCAGGACCAAAUAAAUAAGAUAAAGUCACAAUUUCUCAUCCUUCUUCACUCAACUUUUCUUUGAGGAGAGAAUACGGCAGUUUCAAGGACAAGGGAUUUGUACCACUGCUCCUCACUCAAUAAACAGCAGAGACAGAAUUUGAACGCUAGCUGUGUGGCCUUACCUAACUUCUCUGAACCAUUGCUCACUGAAAAAUGUGGAAAAAAUUAUCCACUUCUUAGGGAUGUUGUGAAGAUUAAAAGAAAAAGAGAUGUAGAGUGCUCAUCACAGUGCCUCUGCUCUGGGAAGCACUCCAGAUGUGUCUGCUUUUGUUGUGAUUUUGCCAUUCUUCAACAAAGUUAAAAGAGCCUCAA
rnacentral:sRNA from 1 species